GUUUCUUCCCCAAAUUCGUCAUUGUUCUUCUUGAGUUCAAAUCCUAAAUUAGAGUUGUAAAUUGUCAUUUUCAUCAAAUCAAGGUAAUAUUCUAACUUUCUAUGCUUAAAUAAAGAGUGAUGUUAAUUCAAAUCGAAUUUUAAAUGAGUAGAUUUGGAUUAGAUAUUUUUAAAGUAUGUUUGGAUUAAAAAAAUGGUAGAUCUCGAAAUAUUGAGUAAGCUUGUGUUUUUGAAGUUAUUUUUUAUUCAUUCUACCCUAAUUAGAAGGUAUUUCACUUCAAUUUGAUAGUUCAUAACCGAAUUUUUAAGAAUAAAGUGUUUUCCCCUUUUACAUGUUCUUAAAAGCUUCUAUUUUUUGAAAAAAUUAGGAUUACAUAUUAAGGUGAAAUUAGUUGUUUAGAUAUGAUAUUAAAUGUUAUUUAAGAUUUUUGAAAUCAAAAUGGAGGUUUAGAAACAAGGUUAGGGUGUCAACUUUAUUUUCGACAAAACUAGCUAGUUUUCGAUAGUGAAAAAGGAGAGGCUUGAAUUGUGUAUUUCUUGUUGUUCGGUUGUGUGCAAGGCUAUUUUUUGAUGAGUUUGGAAUAUGUUUGUUAUGUGUGUUAAGUGUUGGGUCAAUCGGAAGCCACUAUGAACAAGCCUAAAGGUAAGAAAAAGCUUGUUUAAGCUUUCGACUUGUAAGCAGAAGUGUAAUUGGUGAGUGUCCGGAGUCGCUGCUGGUAUGUGUGAUUCAUAGCAUUAAUCGAG
rnacentral:lncRNA from 1 species